AACAAGGAUUCCCUUAGUAACUGCGAGUGAAGAGGGAAAAGCUCAAAUUUAAAAUCUGACAGUGUUUUGCUGUCCGAGUUGUAACCUAGAGAAGUGUAACCUGUGCUGGACCAUGUACAAGUCUCCUGGAAUGGAGCAUCGCAGAGGGUGAGAAUCCCGUSUUUGACAUGGACYACCAGUGCAUUGUGGUUGUGCUCUCAACGAGUCGAGUUGUUUGGGAAUGCAGCUCUAAAUGGGUGGUAAAUUCCAUCUAAAGCUAAAUAUUGGCGAGAGACCGAUAGCGAACAAGUACCGUGAGGGAAAGAUGAAAAGAACUUUGGAAAGAGAGUUAAACAGUAUGUGAAAUUGUUGAAAGGGAAACGUUUGAAGUCAGUCAUGUYGGGUGGGGAUCAGCCUGGCAGAUUGUUGGGUGUACUUCCUGGUUGACGGGCCAACAUCAGUUUUGACUGCCAGAGAAAGGYGAAGGGAAUGUGGCACCUUUGGGUGUGUUAUAGCUCUUUGUCGUAUGUGGUGGUUGGGACUGAGGAAAGCAGUGCGCCGAAAGGCAGGGUUUCGACCACAUUCGCACUGAGGAUGUUGGCAUAAUGGCUUUAAGCGACCCGUCUUGAAACACGGACCAAGGAGUCUAACAUGCAUGCGAGUGUUUGGGUGGAAAACUCUUACGCGGAAUGAAAGUGAAAGUUGAGAACCCUGUCGUGGGGAGCAUCGACGCCCGGACCAGAACUUUUGGGACGGAUCUGCGGUAGAGCACGUAUGUUGGGACCCGAAAGAUGGUGAACUAUGCCUGAAUAGGGUGAAGCCAGAGGAAACUCUGGUGGAGGCUCGUAGCGAUUCUGACGUGCAAAUCGAUCGUCAAAUUUGGGUAUAGGGGCGAAAGACUAA
rnacentral:rRNA from 2 species